rnacentral:rRNA from 1 species
UACGGGGGGGGCAAGCGUUGUUCGGAAUUACUGGGCGUAAAGGGCUCGUAGGCGGCCAACUAAGUCAGACGUGAAAUCCCUCGGCUUAACCGGGGAACUGCGUCUGAUACUGGAUGGCUUGAGGUUGGGAGAGGGAUGCGGAAUUCCAGGUGUAGCGGUGAAAUGCGUAGAUAUCUGGAGGAACACCGGUGGCGAAGGCGGCAUCCUGGACCAAGUUCUGACGCUGAGGAGCGAAAGCCAGGGGAGCAAACGGG